rnacentral:rRNA from 1 species
AUAGAACGCUGGCGGCAGGCUUAACACAUGCAAGUCGAGCGAGCGGCGGACGGGUGAGGAAUGUCUGGGAAACUGCCUGAUGGAGGGGGAUAACUACUGGAAACGGUAGCUAAUACCGCAUACCAUCAGAAGUGCCCAGAGGGGAUUAGGUAGUAGGUGGGGUAAUGGCUCACCUAGGCGACGAUCCCGAGCUGGUCUGAGAGGAUGACCAGCCACCCUGGACCUUAGACACGGUCCUUGCUACUACGAGAGGGAGCAGUUGGGAAUAUUGCGCAAUGGGUGCAAGCCUGAUGCAGCCAUGCCGCGUGUGUUAAGAAGGCCUUCGGGUUGUAAAGCACUUUCAGCGAGGAGGCGUUACUCGCAUAAGAAGCACCGGCUAACUCCGUGCCAGCAGCCGCGGUAAUAC